GACGAACGCUGGCGGCGUGCUUAACACAUGCAAGUCGAACGGAAAGGCCCUGCUUUUGUGGGGUGCUCGAGUGGCGAACGGGUGAGUAACACGUGAGUAACCUGCCCUUGACUUUGGGAUAACUUCAGGAAACUGGGGCUAAUACCGGAUAGGAGCUCCUGCUGCAUGGUGGGGGUUGGAAAGUUUCGGCUGUUGGGGAUGGACUCGCGGCUUAUCAGCUUGUUGGUGGGGUAGUGGCUUACCAAGGCUUUGACGGGUAGCCGGCCUGAGAGGGUGACCGGCCACAUUGGGACUGAGAGACGGACCAGACGCCUACGGGAGGCAGCAGGGGGGAAUAUUGCACAAUGGGCGGAAGCCUGAUGCAGAAACGCCGCGUGCGGGAUGACGGCCUUCGGGUUGUAAACCGCUUUCGCCUGUGACGAAGCGUGAGUGACGGUAAUGGGUAAAGAAGCACCGGCUAACUACGUG
rnacentral:rRNA from 1 species